UAUCUUAUAGGUCCAAAUGUUAUCUAGUUAAUAGUUGAACCAAGAUGUUAUGUAGUGUUUACAAUUGUACCAAGAUAUCUUAUAGGUCCAAAUGUUAUCUAGUUAAUAGUUGAACCAAUGUGUUAUACAGUGUUAACAGUUGUACCAAAUGUUAUCUUAUAGGUCCAAAUGUUAUCUAGUUCAUAGUUAAACCAAGAUGUUAUACAGUGUUAACAGUUGUACAAAGAUAUCUUAUAGGUCCAAAUGUUACCUAAUUAAUAGUUGAACCAAGAUGUUAUGUAGUGUUUACAAUUGUACAAAGAUAUCUUAUGUUACAAAACCAUGACCUAAUGUAACUGAUAUUUUACAAGUUCAAAUGUUAUCAAGUAAAUAGUUGAACCAAGAUGUUAUGUAGUGUUAACAGUUGUACCAAGAUAUCUUAUAGGUCCAAAUGUUAUCUAGUUAAUAUUUGAACCAAGGUGUUAUACAGUGGUAACAGUUGUACAAAAUGUUAUCUAAUUAAUAGUUGAACCAAGAUGUUAUGUAGUGUUAACAGUUGUACCAAGAUAUCUUAUAGGUCCAAAUGUUAUCUAGUUAAUAGUUGAACCAAGAUGUUAUACAGUGUUAACAGUUGUACCAAAUGUUAUCUUAUAGGUCCAAAUGUUAUCUAGUUAAUAGUUGAACCAAGAUGUUAUACAGUGUUAACAGUUGUACCAAAUGUUAUCUUAUAGGUCCAAAUGUUAUCUAGUUAAUAGUUGAACCAAGAUGUUAUACAGUGUUAACAGUUGUACCAAGAUAUCUUAUAGGUCCAAAUGUUAUCAAGUUAAUAGUUGAACCAAAAUGUUAUACAGUGUUAACAGUUGUACCAAAUGUUAUCUUAUAGGUCCAAAUGUUAUCUAGUUCAUAGUUGAACCAAGAUGUUAUACAGUGUUAACAGUUGUACCAAGAUAUCUUAUAGGUCCAAAUGUUAUCUAGUUAAUAGUUGAACCAAGAUGAUCAAGAUGUUACAAAACCAUGACCUAAUGUAACUGAUAUUUUACAAGUUCAAAUGUUAUCAAGUAAAUAGUUGAACCAAGAUAUUUUAUACAGUGUUAACAGUUGUACCAAGAUAUCUUGGGAAUAUAUAGUAAAGAUAAGUUUAAAUGUUACAUAGUAAGCAGUUAUAAUGGGCAUUAAUGUCAUACACUGUCUAGUUAACAGUAUGGUAGUACAGAGUAAUUCGUGGUGUAAGCGAUAGGUUACAUUGUAAUGGAUAUGUUUUGAUAUUUUAUAAUAAAAUGUAAAUCACAAUUUUAUGAAACACUUCCACUGCCAUGUACUACAAGAGCACUGAAGAUCUUGGAAAACCAAAUGCUUUACUUGGGUCCAGAUUUAAUUUCAGAAUCUUUAGUACUAAGUGUGUUCAGUUUUUCCAUUUUUAGCUCACCUGUCACAAAGUGACAAGGUGAGCUUUUGUGAUCACAAUUUGUCAGGGGUCGUCUGUCCGUAUGUUGUUUGUUCUUUAAAUUUUACUUUAAAUGAUAUCUCCUCAUAGACCACUGAGCCAAUUUAAUCCAACUUCACAGGAAUAAUUGAAUUCCAUGCAGAACUCUGGUUGCCAUGGCAACUGAAAGGAAAAACUAAAAAAAAAUCUUCUUAAAAAAAACCCAAAGAGCUAGAGCUUAGAUAUUUGGCCUGGGCCAAAAUUGGUACCGACCCAGGGGGAGGGGUCAUUGAUUUUCCUUAUAUGUAUAUAGUUAAAACUUAACAAAUCUUCUUUUAAAAAACCAAAAGUGCUAGAGCUUAGAUAUACAUGUAUAGCAUGAACCAUCUUUUAGUGAGUAUCUUCCAAAUUUGUUCAAAUAAAAGCCCUGAGGGUGAAAUUGGCCCCACCCCAGGGUGUCAUUGAUUUUCCUUAUAUAUACACAUUUUUUGGAACUGUUGUUUUCUCUUAACUAUAGCAAACAUGAAAUGUUUUACACAUGCACUUUUCCAGAUAUAAUUAUAAACUUUGUGAUAUCACUUUAAGACUAAUAUGAAGAUUUUAUAUCAUUCUGCAUUGUUUAUAGUUUACAAUGUUUCUUGUCUUUAUCAUAGAGAGUUUUUAUAUUCAGGUGAGCGAUUUCAGGGCCAUCAUGACCCUCUUGUCUUAAUUAUACCAUUGUAUUUCUCCUAAAUAUGAAUUUUUUACUUUUUAUUUAUUUAUUUUUAAGCAAUAAGAAAAUACUAUGCAUGUACAGAUGUAUUUUAACUUAGAACUAUUGAGACUUACCACAUGUAAUUGUUUAUUUUAUUUUGUUUGCAAUCUUAUUUUAUGUUUGAACAUUUUGUUUUACAUUCCUCUCAUCCAUUUUGUAUUGACAAUAAUAUCAAUUUUGUAUAUUUUAUUUUGAAUUAAAAUAUUUUCUAAAUUAAUCACUUCGCCCAUUUCUGUUAGAUUAAACCUUUUUAUGUAUAUAUUUUAAAGAAAUUGUUCAAAAUCAUGUUAAAGUCUGCUUUUAUUUUUUGACCGGUACUAGUACGACACAAAGAAGAAUUGUUGUAUAUGGUGCAUGCACUUAGGGCCAUCGUUUUCUCCUUGUUUUUUAGCUUAUUAUCCUAUGCUAGUACACACAGAAGAAUUGUUGUAUAGGGUGUAUGCACUAGGGGCAUCGUUUUCUCCUUGUUCCUAUGCUAGACAGAUUCUGCAGAUGUCUGUAGUUAGGACAAAAGAUCACCGAGGCCAUUCCUCAGCAUUUCCGUUUUUACGUUCUGCACAUUUUAGAACAAAGCAUAGUGUCAUUCUGACAGUGGUACUGAUAUGAUCAAUGAUUCGUAGUCAUUUCCAUCCGUCGAGUGUCUUCAACGUUUAUAUCUGGUGUUUCAUCUAAAUGAGUUUCAUAUUCGUUGGUUGAAAGCUUUGUCAUCAAUUUACUGUAAUCAUAUUUCUCAUGUCUAUGGAUUUCCACAAUUUUAGUUUUGGUUUAUUGCUGUGUCGUUAAUCUUGGCUAUUAUAAUUGCCUUCCUGGUGGGGAAAACAUCGGCGGGGAA